rnacentral:rRNA from 1 species
UACGUAGGGUGCAAGCGUUGUCCGGAAUUAUUGGGCGUAAAGAGCUUGUAGGCGGUUUGUCGCGUCUGCUGUGAAAUUUCGGGGCUCAACCCCGAACUUGCAGUGGGUACGGGCAGACUAGAGUGCUGUAGGGGAGACUGGAAUUCCUGGUGUAGCGGUGAAAUGCGCAGAUAUCAGGAGGAACACCGGUGGCGAAGGCGGGUCUCUGGGCAGUAACUGACGCUGAGGAGCGAAAGCGUGGGGAGCGAACAGG